AGUGAACGCUGGCGGUAGGCCUAACACAUGCAAGUCGAACGGCAGCACAGUAAGAGCUUGCUCUUACGGGUGGCGAGUGGCGGAUGGGUGAGGAAUACAUCGGAAUCUACUUUUUCGUGGGGGAUAACGUAGGGAAACUUACGCUAAUACCGCAUACGACCUACGGGUGAAAGCAGGGGAUCUUCGGACCUUGCGCGAUUGAAUGAGCCGAUGUCGGAUUAGCUAGUUGGCGGGGUAAAGGCCCACCAAGGCGACGAUCCGUAGCUGAUCUGAGAGGAUGAUCAGCCACACUGGAACUGAGACACGGUCCAGACUCCUACGGGAGGCAGCAGUGGGGAAUAUUGGACAAUGGGCGCAAGCCUGAUCCAGCCAUACCGCGUGGGUGAAGAAGGCCUUCGGGUUGUAAAGCCCUUUUGUUGGGAAAGAAAAGCAGCAGGUUAAUACCCCGCUGUUCUGACGGUACCCAAAGAAUAAGCACCGGCUAACUUCGUG
rnacentral:rRNA from 1 species